GGGUCCGUAGCUCAACGGGAGAGCAAGGGGCUUUUAACCCCGAGGUUGAGGGUUCAAAUCCCUCCGGGCUCA
rnacentral:tRNA from 1 species